rnacentral:rRNA from 1 species
UACAGAAGGUGCGAGCGUUAAUCGGAAUUACUGGGCGUAAAGGGUGCGUAGGUGGUUUUGUAAGUUAGGUGUGAAAGUCCCGGGCUUAACCUGGGGAUUGCGCCUAAUACUGCAAAGCUAGAGUACUGUAGAGGAAAGUGGAAUUUCCAGUGUAGCGGUGAAAUGCGUAGAUAUUGGAAGGAACAUCAGUGGCGAAGGCGACUUUCUGGACAGAUACUGACACUGAGGCACAAAAGCGUGGGGAGCGAACGGG